rnacentral:rRNA from 1 species
UACGGGGGGGGCAAGCGUUGUUCGGAAUUACUGGGCGUAAAGGGUUCGUAGGUGGCUCGCUAAGUCAGACGUGAAAUCCCUCAGCUCAACUGGGGAACUGCGUCUGAGACUGGGGACUCGAGUGCAGGAGAGGAACGCGGAAUCCAGGUGUAGCGGUGAAAUGCGUAGAUAUCUGGAGGAACACCGGUGGCGAAGGCGGCGUCUGGACUGCAACUGACACUGAGGAACGAAAGCCAGGGGAGCAAACGGG